UCAUUUAAAAAAAAGUGUACUAUAGAUGCAAGAAAAAUGUCCUCGCGCUUUCUGUCUGCCUGAUUGUGGCAGCCAAGAUUGAAUAGAGGAAUACAGAG
rnacentral:snoRNA from 1 species